rnacentral:rRNA from 1 species
UGGGGAAUAUUGCACAAUGGGCGAAAGCCUGAUGCAGCGACGCCGCGUGAGGGAUAACGGCCUUCGGGUUGUAAACCUCUUUCAGCAGGGAGGAAGCGAAAGUGACGGUACCUGCAGAAGAAGCGCCGGCUAACUACGUGCCAGCAGCCGCGGUAAUACGUAGGGCGCAAGCGUUGUCCGGAAUUAUUGGGCGUAAAGAGCUCGUAGGCGGUUAGUCGCGUCUGCUGUGAAAACUCGAGGCUCAACCUCGGGCUUGCAGUGGGUACGGGCUGACUAGAGUGCGGUAGGGGUGACUGGAAUUCCUGGUGUAGCGGUGGAAUGCGCAGAUAUCAGGAGGAACACCGAUGGCGAAGGCAGGUCACUGGGCCGCAACUGACGCUGAGGAGCGAAAGCAUGGGGAGCGAACAGGAUUAGAUACCCUGGUAGUCCAUGCCGUAAACGUUGGGCACUAGGUGUGGGGUCCAUUCCACGGAUUCCGUGCCGCAGCAAACGCAUUAAGUGCCCCGCCUGGGGAGUACGGCCGCAAGGCUAAAACUCAAAUGAAUUGACGGGGUC